rnacentral:rRNA from 1 species
AGAGUUUGAUCCUGGCUCAGGAUGAACGCUAGCGAUAGGCUUAACACAUGCAAGUCGAGGGGUAACAUGGAGAGAAGCUUGCUUCACUCUGAUGACGACCGGCGGAUGGGUGAGUAACGCGUAUGCAACUUGCCUCUUAGUGGGGGAUAACCCGGAGAAAUCCGGACUAAUACCGCAUAUUCUUAAUUUCUCGCAUGAGUUAUUAAGGAAAGAUUUAUUGCUAAGAGAUAGGCAUGCGUUCCAUUAGUUAGUUGGUGAGGUAACGGCUCACCAAGGCAUCGAUGGAUAGGGGAGCUGAGAACAUUGGGACUGAGACACGGCCCAAACUCCUACGGGAGGCAGCAGUGAGGAAUAUUGGUCAAUGGAGGAAACUCUGAACCAGCCAAGUCGCGUGAAGGAUGACGGUCCUAUGGAUUGUAAACUUCUUUAGUAGGUGAGUAAGGAUAGGUACGUGUACCUAUUAGAAAGUAGCCUAAGAAUAAGUAUCGGCUAACUCCGUGCCAGCAGCCGCGGUAAUACGGAGGAUACGAGCGUUAUCCGGAUUUAUUGGGUUUAAAGGGUGCGUAGGUGGCUGAUUAAGUCAGUGGUGAAAAGCUAUGGCUCAACCAUAGUCUUGCCGUUGAUACUGGUUAGCUUGAGUGUAGAUGAUGUAGGCGGAAUGCGUAGUGUAGCGGUGAAAUGCAUAGAUAUUACGCAGAACUCCGAUUGCGAAGGCAGCUUACAAAACUACUACUGACACUGAGGCACGAAAGCGUGGGUAUCAAACAGGAUUAGAUACGGAGUACGUCGGCAACGAUGAAACUCAAAGGAAUUGACGGGGGCCCGCACAAGCGGAGGAACAUGUGGUUUAAUUCGAUGAUACGCGAGGAACCUUACCUGGGAUUGAAAUGUAUAGGCUGGCAACUGGAAACAGAUGCUGUUCACUUCGGUGACUUAUAUGUAGGUGCUGCAUGGUUGUCGUCAGCUCGUGCCGUGAGGUGUCGGCUUAAGUGCCAUAACGAGCGCAACCCUUAUCGUUAGUUGCUAACAGGUUAAGCUGAGGACUCUGGCGAGACUGCCGUCGUAAGGCGAGAGGAAGGUGGGGAUGACGUCAAAUCAGCACGGCCCUUAUAUCCAGGGCGACACACGUGUUACAAUGGUGAGGACAAAGGGUAGCUACCUGGUGACAGGAUGCCAAUCUCCAAACCUCAUCUCAGUUCGGAUCGAAGUCUGCAACUCGACUUCGUGAAGCUGGAUUCGCUAGUAAUCGCGCAUCAGCCAUGGCGCGGUGAAUACGUUCCCGGGCCUUGUACACACCGCCCGUCAAGCCAUGGAAGCUGGGGGUACCUGAAGUGCGUGACCGCGAGGAGCGUCCGAGGGUAAGACCGGUGACUGGGGCUAAGUCGUAACAAGGUAGCCGUACCGGAAGGUGCGGCUG